rnacentral:rRNA from 1 species
CUACGGGUGGCUGCAGUGGGGAAUAUUGCACAAUGGGGGGACCCCUGAUGCAGCAACGCCGCGUGGAGGCUGAAGCAUUUCGGUGUGUAAACUCCUUUUAUAUGUCAAGAAAAUGACGGUAGCAUAUGAAUAAGCACCGGCUAACUCCGUGCCAGCAGCCGCGGUAAUACGGAGGGUGCAAGCGUUACUCGGAAUCACUGGGCGUAAAGGACGCGUAGGCGGGUUGGAAAGUCAGGUGUGAAAUCCUACAGCUUAACUGUAGAACUGCACUUGAAACUUCUAAUCUAGAGUAUGGGAGGGGGAGAUGGAAUUAGUGGUGUAGGGGUAAAAGCCGUAGAUAUCACUAGGAAUACCAAAAGCGAAGGCGAUCUCCUGGAACAUUACUGACGCUAAGGCGUGAAAGCGUGGGGAGCAAACAGGAUUAGAUACCCCCGUAGUC